rnacentral:tRNA from 1 species
UGGAGCAGUCUGGCAGCUCGUCGGGCUCAUAACCCGAAGGUCACAGGUUCAAAUCCUGU